GUACUGAUGAAGAGUCCCAAACUAGGACGAAACAGAUAUCCAGUAC
rnacentral:hammerhead_ribozyme from 1 species